rnacentral:rRNA from 1 species
ACCUUAGAUGUUCUGGGCCGCACGCGCGCUACAAUGGUCUUCGCAAACGGAUGCAUUCUCGAAGGAGAAUGCCAAUCUUGGAAUCUAUGCCUUGGUCGGGACAGUUGCUUGCAAUUUUUCGACUCGAACCAGGAAUUCCUUGUAAUCGUGAUUCAUCACAUCACGAUGAAUACGUCCCUGCCCUUUGUACACACCGCCCGUCGCUCCUACCGAUCGAAGAGUUAGGUGAAUUGUUUUGAUCGAUAAGAUUUGACUAUGGUCAACUCUCGUUGUGAAAUUCUGUGAAUCUGACUGUUUAGAGGAAGGAAAAGUCGUAACA